UCAAGCUUUACACAACUUAUCUCUUUCCCAAAAAUAUCUCUGCAAAAACCUAUCCCUAUCUCCCAAACCCAUUAUUUCUUCUCUGGAAAAGUCAAAUGCUUUUUUGAUGAAAUAAAUCUGAUUAGGCUGUAAUUGAUCUUGUGAAUCCAAGGCCGGAGGCUAUCAAAGUUGAAGAGAAAGUACUUAUUAGAAGAGGAGGACGAAGAAGAUUCAUGAGAUUGGAGAACUUGUGAGACAAGCACUGGAUCAUUGUAUUCACGAAGGUCUCCAUUCACUGACACCACCUUCGUUGGGGUUUUCGCAGUUCAAAAUAACCUGUUCACUCCUAAACCGGUGCUCCCCCAAAUCCUUGGCACAAAUCAAGGUUUUAAAGCCCUACUGGCUGCUAAAUGACGUUAUAAAAUAGGUCUUCAGUAUGUUACCUCUACUACCACAGUUUCACUUAAAGCAACUUUGGAGGCUAUACUUGCUAGACAUAAGCUAAGCAUUCCAAGAAUACGGAGCUAUGAUGGAGCAAGUAAUAUGAGAGGUCCAUCACUCGUCUCUGAGCAGGCAUGGGUCGCCAGUCAACUAGUGGGCGAGAGAAGAGAAAUGGAGAUGAGACGUGAAAAUGAAUGAUAAAUAUAACCAUCAAUAUAAUAAGAGAAUAAUUCAAUCUAAAAAAGAGUUACAUA